rnacentral:rRNA from 1 species
UGGGGAAUAUUGGACAAUGGGCGCAAGCCUGAUCCAGCAAUGCCGCGUGUGUGAAGAAGGCCUUCGGGUUGUAAAGCACUUUUAUCAGGAGCGAAACGCUGUCGGCUAAUACCCGGCGGAACUGACGGUACCUGAGGAAUAAGCACCGGCUAACUUCGUGCCAGCAGCCGCGGUAAUACGAAGGGUGCAAGCGUUAAUCGGAAUUACUGGGCGUAAAGCGUGCGUAGGCGGUUUCUUAAGUCUGCUGUGAAAUCCCCGGGCUCAACCUGGGGAUGGCAGUGGAUACUGGGAGGCUAGAGUGUGUCAGAGGGUGGUGGAAUUCCCGGUGUAGCGGUGAAAUGCGUAGAGAUCGGGAGGAACAUCAGUGGCGAAGGCGGCCACCUGGGACAACACUGACGCUGAGGCACGAAAGCGUGGGGAGCAAACAGGAUUAGGAUACCCUGGUAGUCCACGCCCUAAAGCGAUGCGAACUGGAUGUUGGUCUCAACUCGGAGAUCAGUGUCGAAGCUAACGCGUUAAGUUCGCCGCCUGGGGAGUACGGUCGCAAGACUGAAACUUAAAUGAAUUGACGGGGUCAUAGCUGUUUCC